rnacentral:rRNA from 1 species
UACCAGCUCUCCGAGUGGUGUGGAUGUUUAUUGGGCCUAAAGCAUCCGUAGCUGGCUGGGCAAGUCCCCUGUUAAAUCCACCGAUUCAAUCGUUGGAGUGCGGGGGAUACUGCUCGGCUAGGGGACGGGAGAGGCCGACGGUAUUUUCGGGGUAGGGGUGAAAUCCUAUAAUCCCGGAAAGACCACCAGUGGCGAAGGCUGUCGGCUAGAACGCGCCCGACGGUGAGGGAUGAAAGCGUGGGGGGAGCGAACCGGAUUAGAUACCCGGGUAGUCCCAGCUGUAAACGAUGCAGGCUAGGUGUUUGGGCGGCCACGUGCCGCUCUAGUGCCGCAGGGAAGUCGUUAAGCCUGCCGCCUGGGGAGUACGGCCGCAAGGCUGAAACUUAAAGGAAUUGGCGGGGAGCACCACAAGGGGUGAAGCUUGCGGUUU